rnacentral:rRNA from 1 species
GAUGAACGCUGGCGGCGUGCCUAAUACAUGCAAGUCGAGCGAACAGACGAGGAGCUUGCUCCUCUGACGUUAGCGGCGGACGGGUGAGUAACACGUGGAUAACCUACCUAUAAGACUGGGAUAACUUCGGGAAACCGGAGCUAAUACCGGAUAAUAUAUUGAACCGCAUGGUUCAAUAGUGAAAGACGGUUUUGCUGUCACUUAUAGAUGGAUCCGCGCCGCAUUAGCUAGUUGGUAAGGUAACGGCUUACCAAGGCAACGAUGCGUAGCCGACCUGAGAGGGUGAUUGGGCACACUGGAACUGAGAAACGGGCCAGACUCCUACGGGAGGCAGCAGUAGGGAAUCUUCCGCAAUGGGCGAAAGCCUGACGGAGCAACGCCGCGUGAGUGAUGAAGGUCUUCGGAUCGUAAAACUCUGUUAUUAGGGAAGAACAAAUGUGUAAGUAACUAUGCACGUCUUGACGGUACCUAAUCAGAAAGCCACGGCUAACUACGUG